rnacentral:tRNA from 1 species
AUUUGACAGUAGUUUAAUAAACACUAUUUUUGUAAUAUAGAGAUACUAGCUUGCAUACACGUUAGGGUACGGA